AUGGCAGCAUGCAUUGGAGGCAUGGCCGGAGCACAAAAGACGUGGACGCUCGAGCGAUUGGACGGCACAUGUGCUGAAUGGGAACUGAGGGGUUUAUUUUGCACUUGGUUCCUUUGCGGACUACUACGCUGGGCAAAGAAGUUGCCAACACGAUCGAUGUCAUAAUUUACAAAUAAAUGAGUAUCUUCAUUUAAUUUUUUGUGUCAGCAACUAAGCCGUGCCUAUGUGCGUUUCUAGGCGCAGUGCUUAUUUCAACAAAAGCUCCCGGAAACACGUUGACCCUUAAUGCAUAAAAAAAUAUUGAAAACAGAUUAUCAGCAGCAAUUACAGACGAUUUUAUGAAAUGCAGUACCCAACCAGCCCUGCAAAGUAUCAUACUCAAAACGAACUGAAAAAGUCCUGAAAUGUUGUUUCCAGGACGUCCUGAGGUUGUUAUGAGGCUGGACAACAGGGCUGGAUUAGUGCAAUUCUAGUACCAUUAGAGGACGUCCAGA